rnacentral:lncRNA from 1 species
GGACGCUCUCCGCCUAUAUGCUGCUCACCCACCCCGCCUUCCAACCGUGGGCCCUGACGACCGCCAGCCAAGCCGGGCCCCGACUCGGCGGAAGCGACCUACCCACGGAUAUCAGCCGGAUUGUGGGCGCCCUGGGACACCUACCACCGCUCCGGGAUAUCGAGACCAGCCCCCUGUCCCCCGGACCGUGGUGAUGGGCAACCGCGUUGUGGGGUAACCCGUUGCUCCCCAAUACCGGCGAGGCAGACCC